rnacentral:rRNA from 1 species
CCUACGGGGGGCUGCAGUGGGGAAUAUUGCACAAUGGGCGCAAGCCUGAUGCAGCGACGCCGCGUGAGCGAUGAAGGCCUUCGGGUCGUAAAGCUCUGUCCUAAGGGAAGGAUAAUGACGGUACCUUAGGAGGAAGCCCCGGCUAACUACGUGCCAGCAGCCGCGGUAAUACGUAGGGGGCGAGCGUUAUCCGGAAUCACUGGGCGUAAAGGGUGCGUAGGCGGCCCUGCAAGUCAGGAGUUAAAUCCCUCGGCUCAACCGAGGUCAGCUCUUGAAACUGGAGGGCUUGAGGGCAGGAGAGGAGAGCGGAAUUCCCAGGGUAACGGUGAAAUUCGUCGAUACUAGGGGGAAAACCAGGGGCGAAGGCGGCGCUCUGGAAUGCAACUGACGCGGAGGCACGAAAGCGUGGGGAGCGAACAGGAUUAGAUACCCUAGUAGUC